GACGUAGGGCGCGAGCGUUGUCCGGAUUUAUUGGGCGUAAAGAGCUCGUAGGCGGUUUGUCGCGUCGGGAGUGAAAACCUUGGGCUUAACUCAGGGCUUGCUUUCGAUACGGGCAGACUAGAGGUAUGCAGGGGAGAACGGAAUUCCUGGUGUAGCGGUGAAAUGCGCAGAUAUCAGGAGGAACACCAAUAGCGAAGGCAGCUCGCUGGGACGUUACUGACACUGAGGCGCGAAAGCGUGGGGAGCGAACAGG
rnacentral:rRNA from 1 species